GGAGGAAAAGAAACCAACAGGGAUUGCCUUAGUAACGGCGAGUGAAGCGGCAAUAGCUCAAAUUUGAAAGCUGGCCCCUUCGGGGUCCGCGUUGUAAUUUGUAGAGGAUGAUUCGGCGAGGGCUCCCGUCUAAGUCCCUUGGAACAGGGCGUCAUAGAGGGUGAGAAUCCCGUAUGUGAUGGGCUGCCUUAGCCAUGUGAAUCUCCUUCGACGAGUCGAGUUGUUUGGGAAUGCAGCUCUAAAUGGGAGGUAAAUUUCUUCUAAAGCUAAAUACCGGCCAGAGACCGAUAGCGCACAAGUAGAGUGAUCGAAAGAUGAAAAGCACUUUGGAAAGAGAGUUAAAAAGUACGUGAAAUUGUUGAAAGGGAAGCGCUUGCAGCCAGACUUGUCCGCAGUUGCUCAGCUUGUCUCCUGACAGGCGUACUCUUCUGCGGCCAGGCCAGCAUCAGUUCGGGCGGUCGGAUAAAGACCUGGGGAAUGUAGCUCCUCUCGGGGAGUGUUAUAGCCCUGGGUGCAAUGCGGCCAGCCUGGACUGAGGAUCUCGCUUCGGCUAGGAUGCUGGCGUAAUGGCUGUAAGCGGCCCGUCUUGAAACACGGACCAAGGAGUCUAACAUCUAUGCGAGUGUUUGGGUGUCAAACCCAUGCGCGUAAUGAAAGUGAACGGAGGUGGGAACCCUCACGGGUGCACCAUCGACCGAUCCUGAUGUCUUCGGAUGGAUUUGAGUAAGAGCAUAGCUGUUGGGACCCGAAAGAUGGUGAACUAUGCCUGAAUAGGGUGAAGCCAGAGGAAACUCUGGUGGAGGCUCGCAGCGGUUCUGACGUGCAAAUCGAUCGUCAAAUUUGGGUAUAGGGGCGAAAGACUAAUCGAACCAUCUA
rnacentral:rRNA from 1 species